UACAGAGGUCUCAACCGUUGUUCGGAUUCAUUGGGCGUAAAGGGUGCGUAGGCGGUCGCGCAAGUCGGAUGUGAAAUCUCAGGGCUCAACCCUGAAACUGCAUUCGAUACUGCGUGGCUAGAGUGCUGGAGAGGAGACUGGAAUUUACGGUGUAGCAGUGAAAUGCGUAGAUAUCGUAAGGAAGACCAGUGGCGAAGGCGAGUCUCUGGACAGCAACUGACGCUGAGGCACGAAGGCCAGGGGAGCAAAUGGG
rnacentral:rRNA from 1 species